GAAGAUAAUUUAAAAUAAAAUCUGCUCAAUGAAUAUUUAAAUAGCUGCAGUAUAUUAACUGUACUAAGGUAGCAUAAUCAUUUGUCUUUUUAAUAAAGUCUGGAAUGAAAGAUUUAAUGAAAUAAAAUCUAUUUAAAUUUAAAAAUAUUUAAAUUUAAUUUUAAGUUAAAAAUCUUAAAUAUAAAAAAAAGACGAGAAGACCCUAUAGAAUUUUAUAAUUUUAAUUAUAAAUUUUAUUUAAAUUUAUAUAAAUUAUAAUUAAAUUAUUGAAUUGGGGUAAUAUUAAAAUUUAAAAAAUUUUUAAAAUUUUAAACAUAUAUAAAUGAAUUAAAUAUCCAAUAUUAUUGAAUAUAAAUUAAAUUACCUUAGGGAUAACAGCGUAAUAAUUUCAGAGAGAUCAUAUUGAAGAAAUUGAUUGCGACC
rnacentral:rRNA from 1 species